UACGAAGGGGGCUAGCGUUGUUCGGAAUUACUGGGCGUAAAGCGCGCGCAGGCGGUCCUUCAAGUCAGAGGUGAAAGCCCAGAGCUCAACUCUGGAAUUGCCUUUGAAACUGCAGGACUUGGGUACGGGAGAGGUGAGUGGAAUUCCGAGUGUAGAGGUGAAAUUCGUAGAUAUUCGGAAAGAACACCAGUGGCGAAGGCGGCUCACUGGCCCGUUACCGACGC
rnacentral:rRNA from 1 species